rnacentral:rRNA from 1 species
CUCCAGACUCCUACGGGAGGCAGCAGUGGGGAAUAUUGCACAAUGGGGGAAACCCUGAUGCAGCGACGCCGCGUGAGCGAUGAAGUAUUUCGGUAUGUAAAGCUCUAUCAGCAGGGAAGAAAAUGACGGUACCUGACUAAGAAGCCCCGGCUAACUACGUGCCAGCAGCCGCGGUAAUACGUAGGGGGCAAGCGUUAUCCGGAUUUACUGGGUGUAAAGGGAGCGUAGACGGCAAUGCAAGCCAGAUGUGAAAGCCCGGGGCUCAACCCCGGGACUGCAUUUGGAACUGUGUAGCUGGAGUGUCGGAGAGGCAGGCGGAAUUCCUAGUGUAGCGGUGAAAUGCGUAGAUAUUAGGAGGAACACCAGUGGCGAAGGCGGCCUGCUGGACGAUGACUGACGUUGAGGCUCGAAAGCGUGGGGAGCAAACAGGAUUAGAUACCCCCGUAUAC